rnacentral:rRNA from 1 species
CCAGUCGAGCGGACCGGAUCACGUUUUGCCUUGAUUCGGUCAGCGGCGGACGGGUGAGUAACACGUGGGCAACCUGCCCGCAAGACCGGGAUAACUCCGGGAAACCGGAGCUAAUACCGGAUAACACCGAAGACCGCAUGGUCUUCGGUUGAAAGGCGGCCUUUGGCUGUCACUUGCGGAUGGGCCCGCGGCGCAUUAGCUAGUUGGCGAGGUAACGGCUCACCAAGGCGACGAUGCGUAGCCGGCCUGACAGGGUGACCGGACACACUGGGACUGACACCCGGCCCAGACUCCUACGGGAGGCAGCAGUAGGGAAUCUUCCGCAAUGCACGAAAGUCUGACGGAACGACGCCGCGUGAGCGAAUAAGGUCUUCGGGUCGUAAAGCUCUGUUGUGAGGGACGAAGGAGCGCCGUUUGAACAAGGCAGCGCGGUGACGGUACCUCACGAGAAAGCCCCGGCUAACUACGUGCCAGCAACCGCGGUAAUACGUAGGGGGCGAGCGUUGUCCGGAAUUAUUGGGCGUAAAGCGCGCGCAGGCGGCCCUUUAAGUCUGAUGUGAAAGCCCACGGCUCAACCGUGGAGGGUCAUUGGAAACUGGGGGACUUGAGUGCAGGAAAGGAUAGCGGAAUUCCAACGUGUAACGGUGAAAAUGCUUAGAGAUGUGGAGGAACACCAGUGGCGAAGGCGGCUCUCUGGCCUGUAGAUGACGCUGAGGCGUGAAGGCGUGGGGAGCAAACAGGAUUAGAUACUCUGGUAGUCCUUCUGGUAAACGAUGAGUGUUAAGUGUUAGAGGGGUCACUCCCUUUAGUGUUGCAGCUAACGCGAUAAGCACUCCGCCUGGGGAGUGCGGCCGCAAGGCUGAAACUCAAAGGAAUUGACGGGGGCCCGCACAAGCGGUGGAGCAUGUGGUUUAAUUUGAAGUAACGUGAAGAACCUUGAUAGGUCUUGACAUUUCCUGACAAUCCAAGAGAUUGGGCGUUCCCCUUUCGGGGGGACAGGGUGACAGGUGGUGCAUGGUUGUCGUCAGCUCGUGUCGUGAGAUGUUGGGAUGAGUCGCGCAACGAGCGCUACCCUUGCCUAUAGUUGCCAGCAUUCAGGUGGGCGCUAUAGAGGGACUCUCGGCUAAAAGUCGGAGGAAGGUGGGGAUGACGUCGAAAUCAUCAUGUCCUUUAUGACUUGGGCUACACUCGUGCUACAAUGGGCGGUACAAAGGGGUGAGAACCCGCGAGGGGG